GUGGCAUCUGUGCUGUGCCUGUCAUUCAUUGAGAACAGUUUGUUUUCUGCUUAUGGAAUCACAAAAAUAUUUAAUCUGAAGCUUCAGUGGUGCAGCCGUCCUUGAGGCUGCAGACCAUAGGAUCCUUCCUUCUCUGUCUGGAUGCACUGGAGGGCCAGCAUUCUCGGAGGUGGCCAGGGUCCUCUGAGAAGCCAGCGCCCAAGUGGUACCUGAGUCCAGUGAACGGCAAGUUUCUUUUCUGGGAGCUGCUAUCACUGAAUACAUAAAGAAAUUGAGCCUAUAUGAUUUCAAUCUUCACCUUCUGAUGCUGAUGAAACAGGAUUCUAUGCAGAGAAAAUCCUCUCCAGUCAAGUAAUUGCAUCCAUUUCAUCUUCCCAGCCCUCCUCUAGAUGGGAGGUGGAGACUUUGAGUAAAGCUGAUCACCUUACGUAAUGUGAGUGGGUCUCGUCCAAUCAACUGAAGGCUUUAAGAGCAAAGACAAAGGUUUUUCAAAGAGAAAAAGAAGACUCUCCUCAAGACUGUGACAUAGAAACUCUGCCUGAAUUUCUAGCCUGCUGCCCUGCAGAAUUUAGAGUCAAGCCUACAACAUAACUCUUACCUGAAUUCUCAGGCUGCUGACUUACCCUGCAGAUUUUGGACUUGCCAGCCCCUCACAAUCCCAUGAGCCAAUUCCUUAAAAUAAAUCUCUCUUUUUCCCUCUGUAUAUAUUUAUGUCCUAUUGAUUUUGGUUCUCUGGAGAGCCCUGACUACUACACUGAGUGAAGGGAGGGCUUUGCUAAGUGAUCAUGGUCCCAAGGGCAGCCUCUGAGAGCCCGCUCCUUUUGCAGGAUAUUUGAAGACCAGACCUUGAGUCAAAUUCUGCAGCCAAAUUCAAUGCCCAUAAGACUUUCUGCUCAGAAGACGUCAUGCAAAGGGAAUCCCCAGGGCUCUUUAAAUUAGAUCUUCUGUUUGUGCAGACACGUGAUAAAUGUUUUGGGUACAGCCUGGCUCACACCACAUUUUCCACUUUUUGGGUGGAGUCAGUUUUAAUUGACAAGAAGUGCCUUUACAGGUGGACUUUUUUUUUGGUGGUGGAGGGGAGUAGUUAAAACCGAUGCUUUGCAUUCUGUUGGGCAGCAGAAAGAUUGCUUUUUCAAUAAGCAAGCCUUGGGUUUUUCUGAGCCAGUGGUAUGAGAAAUGCCUCUCCUGAAGGCCACCACGCAAGCGAGUCCCCACAGAAGCAUGCCCGAGCUGUCAGGUGCAGGGAGAAAUAUCUUUAGUAAGAGCCGGUCAUGUAAUGAGACUUCCCCACCACAGCAUAGAUGGGCAGAGGGGUUUCCACAAGGACAAUUCUUAAGAAUCUCUGUAAAAACGCAUGACUCCAUCUGUCUCCUCUCUCUUCUUUGGCUUCAGAUGAGCUGAGCCAUUUAAAAAUUCCCCAACAAGGGACCCCAGGCACCAGAAGAAGUGAUGAACAGAUUUUCAAUUUGGCCCUGAUUUGCAUAAAUUUUUUUUUUCUGGCAGUUGAAAUCAUUGAGACUAGAGGCCGGAGAUGGGUAGUAGUGGGUUUUCCCCAUCUGAAGCGGAUUCUUGAUUGGUCUGGAAAGACUGCUGGAGCUCCUGGGUGCAAGGCUCUGACCAGCAGAGCUGGUCAGCAGAGCUGACUGCUCUGGGUGCAGCUUCUCCAGAGAAGGAAGAGAUGGCAAAGAGGAAGGCCUGGGGUUCAGAGAAGGACUUUGCAACCCCAAUGGGGAGUCAGAUCCUCAGGUCUCCUCCUAGAGCGGCUGCCUGGACAGUGGGGACCCCAGCCAGAGCCUGGGGACUUGGCUGCCUUGGAACCAGAACCUGGCCCCUCAGAGGAGUUGCAGAAUUUCGAUAGAGGAGUGGCAGGAGGUGUACUGGCUGAAGAGGAGGCCCAAGGAACUCCUUUUCAUACAUCAAAACUGAGCUUAUCACCUCUACCCUGAAGUCAUCCUGGACAUCACUGGUCCCAGUUAAUCACUCACUUAUCUUUGCCAUCCUUGACCUGGCUGGAGUGAGCCCUUGAGCUGACCCAGAAGUUCUGAGCAUUUAUCACCCAGUAUUGAUGACCAUGUAUUUUGCCUCCUCUCUUUAUGCCUAAAGAUGAAGGAAGAAAUACAAGCUCAUGUUACAAAGAGUAUUUCCUGGGUUUAUCAGCUCUCCCCCUCUCAGCUUGAGCUCUGAAUGAUUUCUUAGUUCUCAGCUUUUCUUCCUCUGAUCAAAGUGCCUGAGGCAGUGAGCACUGGGAGGGCAGGAGCAUUUCUGGCUGAGCCCAAUGCUCACCUCUUCUGGGCCGUUUUAGGAAGCUGUGGCCCAGUGUUCUCUGGUCAGACAAGCAUGGCCUGGCUGUGGAAGGGUCUCCAAAGGCUCAUGGGUCCCAGGUGCCCUGGAUUUUGAAGGCAGCUGCCCUGCCUCCACUGGGAGAAGAUUAAAGCCCCCUUUGCCUUUCUUCGUCCCUCCCUUUCCCACUCUGUUCACUCAAUCACUCUUUUCUCUCCAAUGAAUUAAAUGCAGAAAAUCCAUGAGCAGGAUUUCUCUCUUCAAAGGACCAAAUAACCUUCUUUCUAUUCCCCCUAAAUUUUUUUCCAAACUGCAAAAAGAAAACAUGCAAACAGACUUCAAGUUAAAGGUGAGAGAAAGAAAGAAAAAUUGAAGCAAAGUAAUUUUAACUUGAGAAGUAGAGCAGUUUAAACCCAGAAAAAAAAUGUACACUCCGCAAUAUAGUCCUUUCCUACAAAUUAAUUAACCCAAAGUACUUGUUUAAUUAGUGUGAGGGGUAGGGAAUUGAGUAGCUAACAAUAUCUCUCACCCAGUUUAGAAUUAUGUUCACAAAAGAAUUUCUUCUUCUUUUCCUGAAAGGGAAGAGAACGUUGCCCUCAUUGGUCUGGAAUCAGCAGGUACCUCAUGGCUGGAGGUGUAUUUUCAGGUGGGUUGGGACUUUGAAGAGGUGGCUUUUCCUAUGGACCCCUCUGACUCCCCACCUGUGGGCAUGACACAGGUGACCUGGCUGCCAGGGCAGAGGCUGCUUAGCCCUGCUCCAGAGAAACAGAGCUCUGAGGGCUUCCAGAAACCAGGGCUCCUGGCUCCUCAGUCCUUCCCACUCCUCUCUUCCUACUCCCGUGCUGCAUAUAAACUUUUCUUUUUUUUUCAGAUGGAGUCUCACUCUGUCACUCAGGCUGGAGUGCAGUGGUGCGAUCUCAGCUUACUGCAACCUCCGCCUCCCGGGUUCAAGUGAUUCUCCUGCCUCAGCUUCCCCAGUAGCAGGGACUACAGGACCACAGGUUACAGGCAUGAGCCACUGCACUUGGCCUGCAUAUAAACUUUUUGAGUUUCCUGCUUUUGACAUGAGCAUGGAUAUUUAUCACUUCUAGAGGCAUUAGGAGAACUCAAGUCCAAGUGCUCAGAGACCUACAGUGCAGCUUAAGACCCUGUCACAGGAAUCUUCGGGGUGGGGGCAUGCACGGGAGUUAUAGAGAGUUGGGGAAGGAUGAGUUCUCAACCAAUGCUUUCCUUUUUUCCACAGACUCCUUUGGCAUCUGGUGAGGCCUGUGGAUUCAUUCUCAGAAUCACAUUUUUAAAUGCACAUAAUAAAAUACAUAGAAUUGCAAAGGAAGUUAAUUAUAUUGAAAUACAGUUAUCAAAAAUAUAAAUAAAACAAGUAUGUGGUACAGUCAUAUGUGUGCUUCUUUAUUAAGUCAUUACAAAGCAAGAUCUAUUUGGAGGUCUAAUAACUGUCAUAUGCUUGAAAAAAUCCUUAACAAUCAUAAUAUAUUAAAAAAUCUGAUUUCUACUUUGGCAAAUCAUAGAUAUUGCUGAAACUGUGGUUUAUUGCCUGCAUUCAUAAUUGAAGGAAAUGCUAGAGUUCAGUGAGAAGGUUGUGAAAAUAAAGAGAGCCUUUUUUUCUCAUCAAG
rnacentral:lncRNA from 10 species